rnacentral:rRNA from 1 species
AGCCUGAUGCAGCGACGCCGCGUGGGGGAUGACGGCCUUCGGGUUGUAAACCUCUUUCAGUAGGGAAGAAGCGAAAGUGACGGUACCUGCAGAAGAAGCGCCGGCUAACUACGUGCCAGCAGCCGCGGUAAUACGUAGGGCGCAAGCGUUGUCCGGAAUUAUUGGGCGUAAAGAGCUCGUAGGUGGCUUGUCGCGUCUGCCGUGAAAACCCGAGGCUCAACCUCGGGCGUGCGGUGGGUACGGGCAGGCUAGAGUGUGGUAGGGGAGACUGGAACUCCUGGUGUAGCGGUGAAAUGCGCAGAUAUCAGGAAGAACACCGAUGGCGAAGGCAGGUCUCUGGGCCAUUACUGACACUGAGGAGCGAAAGCAUGGGUAGCGAACAGGAUUAGAUACCCUGGUAGUCCAUGCCGUAAACGUUGGGCACUAGAUGUGGGGGACAUUCCACGUUUUCCGCGUCGUAGCUAACGCAUUAAGUGCCCCGCCUGGGGAGUACGGCCGCAAGGCUAAAACUCA